CGGGGCGUGGCGCAGUUUGGUAGCGCGCUUGUUUCGGGUACAAGAGGCCGUGAGUUCGAGUCUCGCCGCCCCGACCA
rnacentral:tRNA from 1 species